UUUACUUUAUACACAAAUUUUUAAUUUUUAUCUUGUAACUUUUUGAUUUUUUUCCUUUUUCCUUUAUAAAUUCUAAAACCUGGAAUAAAAUGUAUUUUGACCAACAGAAAAAGCAGAUGGAAAUAAACAAGCCUCACUCUUUGUUUUCCUAUGUUUUGUGGAUAUAUUUUACAUCCUGAUGAUCAGAGUGUUUGACGGUUUCAAAGACCCCCACUCAGAAAAACAACCAGAAAAACAUCACAGCUGAGUCUGGACAGAACGUCACUCUGCCAUGUCGAGCUCCAAAUAACAACAAGCCCAUAGUGGUAAAGUGGAGCAGGCAUGAACAGGGACAGUAUGUCUUGAUGUACCGAGAUGAACAGUUUGAUCCAGACGACCAGCAUCCAUCUUUUAAGAACCGGGUGGAUCUGCAGGACAGACAGAUGAAGGAUGGAGACCUGUCUUUGAUUCUGAACAAUGUGACAAUUAAUGACACUGGAAUUUACAGAUGUGGUAUUGUUGAGGGAGUCAGACAACCUAUGAAGCUCAUCAGCAUCAUCUACCUUCAUGUUGAUCCUCCAGGUCAGACAGGAGGACACACAGAGGAUGGAGGGAAGACGAAUGGAUCUGUUGGACCCAAAGUUGGUCUGCCAGUCUCUGCUGUGCUUCUUGUUGCUGCUCUUGUUGUUGUUGUUUUGACCUAAAGGAAACAUAAGAGUUAAAACAGAGUCAGAUUUCAUACCAGCCUUCUAGUGAUUUGUGGCAGAUUUGAGAUCAGUUCAACAUGCAGAAUGACAGAUGAAAGAACGGCAGAAACAGCUGACAAUAAUAAUAAAUCAGCCGACAGAGGUCAUUAAACAACUACUGAAUUUGUUCUUCAGUGUUUUUGUGCAAGACAAACAUUUAAUCAAAGAUCAGUGCACUCUACCACCCGAGGACCAACACUGUGAUCACACUUGAACAGACAGAUGGCCAUGUUAGUCAUAAAAAGGUUCAGUAUAAUCCAACAUUAAGACAGUAAAGACAAAUCACACAGAGAUCCUGUGCAGCUUGAAUAAUAAUCAGAAAAAAUAAAGAUGACUGACAGUGCAUUAUUAACACUUGUAACAGUGAAUAAAUGUCUAAUAUCAAUAGACUAGUCUAAAACAGCUACACCGAAGUAGUCUGAUAACUGACAGCAUUUUUUACCUGCUGUAUUUCUUUUUAAUAUUAUCUUUAAAUUCUUCAUCACAAAUGAGUCAUCUAUGACACAACAGCAGUUCAAUAUUUCAGUUGAAGCAGUACAACAUUUAUGGAGUAAAGAAGACUGAUAUUGAUCAGAAUAUAUUUAUAGUUUCUCUUUCUGUAUUUUUCAGUGAUUUAGUGGAAUUUGU